GGCCGAACAGGAUCCCGAAUUGGUUGUUGUUGAAGAUACGCCUUAGCUUAACCUGUACGAGGAGGACGGCGACCAGGAGUCGGAGCCGCUGGAGCGGCUGAGCAUCACGGAGCCGGUGCGCACGCCGGCCCGGCCGCGGCCCGACGCUGACGACGACUAUGCCGAGACGGACGCCGACUACACCUACAUCUCGGACGCGCCCGCCCACGCCAAAGUGGUGUGAGCGCGGCGCGCCACCGCAGCCAGCGAACAAGCGCGGCAGCUGGCGCCGGCGCUAUUUAUACGAGGACUGGCGCGCCGGUGGCCGGCCACCGGUGCGCACGUGCGGUCGCUUAGCGACGGCGAGUCGUGUGACGCGCGGCGCGCGAGCUGUGAUUCCGGCAGGCCGGCCGACCGGCCAGUGCGGCGGCGGCCCGCCGCGAGACGGAUCAACGGGCGGCGAACCCUUCCGGCGAGACAGAUCAAUUGCGGCCGGGCGGUGUCAUGUGUCGAUCGCCACGAGUUCUGUGUGACAGGUGAACUCGUAAUCGAAUUUAUGUCAGCAGUCUGAGCAGAUCGUUAGUCAACUGUUUGUGCGCAUGUGAAUUAUUAGUGUUUGAUGUGACGAUUAGUUUUCCGUGAUCAAUUCCAAUGAACUGACAAGUUGCAUUCAUCCAGUGUAAAUAGUUCAUGUAUAUAGUGUCAUAUGUUUGUGGUGCAAUUGCCAAAUAUUGCAGUUUGAUACCUAACAGCCAUAUGCUUUUGAUGAUUAAAUCUCUAAUGUGGGA
rnacentral:lncRNA from 1 species